UACGGAGGAUCCAAGCGUUAUCCGGAUUUAUUGGGUUUAAAGGGUGCGUAGGCGGCCUAUUAAGUCAGGGGUGAAAGACGGUAGCUUAACUAUCGCAGUGCCUUUGAUACUGAUGGGCUUGAAUAUCCUGGAGGUAGGCGGAAUAUGUCAUGUAGCGGAUGAAAUGCUUAGAUAUGACAUAGAACACCGAUAGCGAAGGCAGCUUACUACAGGAUGAUUGACGCUGGAGGCAACGAAAGCGUGGGGAGCAAACAGG
rnacentral:rRNA from 1 species